rnacentral:rRNA from 1 species
UACGUAGGGUGCAAGCGAUAAUCGGACUUACUGGGCGUAAAGGGUGCGCAGGCGGUAUUGUCAGCCAGAUGUGAAAUCCCCGGGCUCAACCUGGGAACUGCGUUUGGAACUGCAAUGCUAGAGUGUGUCAGAGGGGGGUGGAAUUCCACGUGUAGCAGCGAAAUGCGUAGAGAUGUGGAGGAACACCGAUGGCGAAGGCAGCCCCCUGGGAUAACACUGACGCUCAGGCACGAAAGCGUGGGGAGCAAAUAGG